GUCAUUUUGACUCGAAGUUUAUCAAAGUACACAUCGAAAAGUUAGUCCAGAACUUCAUCUUUAAGGAACUUUUUCGACCUAAAAUGGUUAUGCCAUGCCGAAGAACAGGUUAGUAUUACAUUUAGUUAUCUUCUAAACGUUUAUGAGUUGUUCUUGUUAAGUUAUAGCUGUUAUUUGAGACGGCACGUGUACUAUUCAUCGAAUUACUUGGCUACCCGUUCAAGCGUUUCGCCCUCGCUUCGUCGCUUCAUUUCCGUAGUAUUUCUCCCACAUUUUCUGGCAAUAAUGUUCAGAAAUAACCCUGCUGUGAUUUAUAUAACUCAUAUUUGUUUUAUCUGCAAUUUCAGGGAAAAAAAUUGAAGAGAAAGAUAGCUGGUUUAAGUUGCCGCCCUGUUGAAGGCUCGAGCACGUGGUAAGCUAAAUGGCCAUUAUUAAAGGCUUUUGCCUCUUGUUUGUUCAAAUUGUUUCUCGCUUUUUCGCAACUAUAGAACAUCUCGUAUCAUUGCUAAAGCUCUCUGAACAUUAUGAGUCUGGUUUCAUUGGUAAAUUUCACUAAACAUUUUGUCCGUGACAUGCGAAAAUUAAUACGCCGAAUCAUAUUUUCAGGCAUAUUCAGUUCGCCUCGUGCAUCAUGCCGUUUUGGCGCAUGUUAUGUACAAAUUGCACAAAAGGAUGUUAAGCUUAUCACGGUUUUAGUGUUAUUUAGUUGAAAUUUUUGUACAAUGUUUGAGUUAAUAAUUUGAGCAGCCGCACCCUGUUUAAUUGUCAUUACAAAAAUUAUUUAAAUUAAUAAAUUUCAUUUCCUCUUCAGACUUCCUUGCCGACAAUCAGGGAGGCGACAUCGACGGACAUUGAAGAAAAGCCUGUUCGCUUGGUUAGAGAGCUUGUAUAAUGAUGCUUUGUUAGCCAUGAGAAGAAUAAAGAGCAAAAGCAGUACACUGGCUAACCAUGCUAAUCAUCGGCAUUAGCGUUGUCAGAUUUCAGCUGUGCCAAAUUUGGGAGAGGUUGCAAACUCGCGCCUGGGGAUGUCGAAUCAUGACUGAUGCCACGUCAGAGACUGUCACCUCAUGCACAACGUUGCAGAAUGGAAAGUCCAAAUUAUUAGACAGAUACAGCCAGCAUCACGGCCAUUGGAUUGGAUUUCGUUUGGUUUACCACGUGUAUGUGACUGGAUGGGACACGAAGACUUGUCAAACCGCAACCGACAAUGAGUCGUGGAGAUGUCAACCGGCAGUGUGCCACACCAUGGACUAGAGCGAAUGAAUGCCUACUACAUCAUUCUCGUUGGUCGUAUUCGAAAGUACGUGGGGCCACCCCAAGGAUACCCAAAUGCACAAAACAAAUUUCCUAACAUGGCACCUUUUCUAUAAUUUCUAAACUUUUUUGAAUUUCAUACGUUUCUUUGUACUUGUGAGAAUCAAAUUCAUCUGAAAUUCGGAAGGUUCUAUCUGGAAGUUUGUUUAUUUGAAAGAUAUUUGAAAUGAAAUUUUGGAGUUUACAUCAACUUGGUAUUUGGUUUGAACGCUAGGCAAAAUCAUGCCGGAUAAGUGGCCGACCAUUCGUCGAGGUUUGAUGAUACUUCAGCACCGACUUUUCCCGACCUACAGUCGAGUUUUCCCGAUCGAUUAUCGUGAUCAACUAGCACAAAUGUAAGGCUUGGCCAACCUUGCGUCUGUGCUUUUUGUUCGUGGCAUGAGAUGGGGACAGCUCGCCCGUAGGCAUGGAAAGAUUGAGCGGAAGUACCACCAAACUUUGAUUUGUGGUCAGUUUUUUGUCAGUGUAUGGCUUUACCCAGCGUUUUCCCGUUAUCAUUUUGAUGCCGACUUUGGGAUUUUGGCUUAAAUAUCUUUAAUAUAAACAUUCUUUGAGAUUUAAUCUUUCAAGAAUUUCAUGACUUGACUAGUUAAUGGUUGCUCACAGUUACCAUAAUUUUUUUGAACCAAAAAUUUAAAACUGACCAAAACGUCAUUUGUGGUAUCGGGGAGGCCCAGUCGCAGACGUGUAUUUGAUAUCAAUGGUUACCAUGAACAUUUAUUGAUCAUUAUGAACAUUUAUGGAUUAUUAUUAACAAUUGUGGAUAAAAUGUACUCUGCGAUCGACGGUUACCUACCAAUGUACCUCGUAACAAGCUGCACAAAGAUUAAAGAGAUGUCUGUCUUCAGGUUAGAGGGUUUGAUUAGUAGCCUGCUAACAGGCUGUAGUUGGCCUGCUAACAGGCAGAAUUUCGGUAAAAUUCGUACCCAGAAUUCGGAUUUGCAUGUGGUUCGGUUAACUCUCUGGGCUAAACCAUAGACAAUCCAGAAGACAUUGUCUUCUGGAUUGUCUAUGGUUAAACUAAUUCAAAAUCACCUGGCGGUCUGUCAUUAGCAGUACAUUUGCACACAAGGUUGAUUUUCCAUUCAGAUGCUUGCAUGCUAACAAAAACCAUCGAGGUUUUCCACCUCAAACAGUUAUUCAUAAUUUUCCUAUAACAUCUCGAUCGAAAAUCAAUCUUAAAGAGGUUAACAUUUGAGCUUUCGGUCACGUGGUUGUUGCAUGCACUCGGUUCGGUUGUUAGUGGGUUUCACUAAGCGUUACAAUGACAACAAGUCAUGAUCAACUUCAGAAUUUUGAUACUUAUAGGGGCAAGAAAAUUAGAAUAUACCUUUCAAUUCUUUGCUCCAAAUACAAGACUACUACAUAAAGUUGAAAAAGAGUGAACAUUAUUUUUCACUCUAGCAACUCCUAGUGAGAUCCACUAGCUAUUCGCUGUCUACUUGUGCCAAUGUUCUGUUCUUCGUGUGAAUGUACUGCUUAGGUGUCUGUGCAUGAAUAAACGCAGCGCGCAUCUAGUAUCUAGAACAGGAAGACAGGUAAAACCUUGUCAGACUUAAAUUUUGGUUGUACUUGUAUGUUACGUAUACAAAUAUACAGAAAUGUCAUGUAAUGGUUAGGGUUCGGGUUCGGGUUAAAUCUAACCCUAUACUAACCUUAAUCUUUAUCCGUUACAUGACCUAUAUAUUUGUGUGCGUAACAUAUAGGUGCGAGUGAAAUUUUACCGACAAGUUGGGAGGCUGGCAUGGUUUUUCUUGUGUGUAGGAUAAUGUAAGCUGGGUGCAAAUGGUAUCCAUAGCUUAGAGGGUACAAAUGGUACCUGUAAGAAGAUUGGUGGAUGGUGGAUUCUUCGCUGUUGGCUUUCCCCGGGUACUCCGGUUUCUUGGAAUAUUAGCCUAGGCCGGCUGUAAUAAUUGUUGUAAAGAUAAAUAGAUAUAUUUUAUGGCCGUAGUGCAUGCACAUCGCUGGUUUCGAACGUUAGUUUUCUGCCCCGGGUUACAUGAAAACAGUUCGCUACCAGAGAUUAGGUCCCCUCUCUGAUAUAAUGUAUAUAUGGUGGCUCAUCGAUUUCAUGGAAUUACCAUAGGGCAUGCAAAUCUUACCCCCGUUUGUGGAAGCUCACCAGGUCCGAUCCACACUAGGUUAAGUUAAGCUAGGGGCAUGACCGAGACAACACAUUCGGGGGCAUUCCUUUGCAGGUUUUUCAAACGUAGUUAGGAAGGUCAGGCAGCUAGAAACUAGAGCGGUUUUGCGAACCUUGUAUCCAGCCAGGUUCUUCCUCUACGCUUCUCGUACCUCCUCCGCAGGCCCUCGUUGCGUCAUGGGAAGGUCGCGUGACCUUCCCAUGACGCAACGUGGGCCUGCGGAGGCAGACGCUUCUCGAGCGAGGAGCGUAGAGGAAAGAGCCCGGGUACGAGCCUUUUUAUAUACUAUAAGUUUCAUAUUUUCACCAUACUUGCGCCAGUAAUCUACUGUAAAGUAUUUGAGACAGCACGAAAAUGGAAUCUGUUUUCUUGUUGAAAAAUACUUCAUAGUGUCCAAAUCAAAGUGGCAAGCAAUGAAAAAAAAUGAAGUGAAAAAUUGCGAAGAAAAUAAAAAAAAAAUGAAAAGCGCGCAAAAGCCACUUUGAAUAUAAGCAACAAUAAUCCAGGAAUACUCACUGCAGGAAAAAACAAAACAAAAAAGAAACAUGUUUUCUGCCUAAAAUUCUUGGAUUAGGGGCUUAUAAUGAUAAGAAAUGUAAUUCUUUCCCCAAAGUGGAGACGGAAUUGUUUCUUUAGGUUGCUAACGCAUUGCGCGCGCUUUGUAACUUCUACCAUAAGUUUUUAGUUGAAAAGACCGCCAGGAAAAAAUAGGGUGUUUUCAUGUGUUGCUUUGUUGACGGACAAAUAGUUUAAAAAGAUGGUUUUCUCAAUUUUUUUACAUCAAUUUUGGCAUUUUAAGUUUGUCCCCAAACAUGACCACCGUGAAAACACUCUGCAGAUCAAGUUUAUGUAUGGUCCCUAUUGCAAUGUUGAAUGUUUGCCAUGUUGCAUUCGCGUUGUUUUGCUAUGUUCAAACAUAAGCUUGGUCGAACGCAGCUAAUUAACAUAAGCCGCGCCGCGCGUGCUGCUGCAAUGCGGAGUACAGUCGAUGAGUGUACUUCAUGCGCAAAUAGUAACGUGUGCUCUAGAUCAUUCAAAAUAAAUUAAGGUGCAUGUUGAUUAGAAUUAAGGGCGCGAAAUUUCAUGCUUAAAAUUAAACGCGCUAAGUUGCAUGCUAGGUAAAACUAGGGGCACGUGAAAUUCAGUGCAUGCUAAUUAGAAUGAAGUGCGCGCGUUGGCAUUUAUGCGCGCGAUAAUAGCGAAAUGAUGCGUUAAUUAAAACCAAAAUAAAGAAAUGCACACGUCGCAUAAUAAAAAUGCAUCCAGGUGUCAUAACAGCUUUUACAAUUGCAAACCGCCGUAAAAUAUGUUGGAACAUUGGAUCCAUUUGCCACGCGCCUUGUCCUGAACAUAUUUUAAAUAUUUUCAGAUUUCAAGGCUAAGACAAGUAUACCUUAUAGGUGCAACAGUUUGCACCAGAAAGGCAUAUUUGUCUUGCGAAAAUUGUAGACUGAAUUUUCGGGCGGUCUACAAUGCUGGAUUUUUUUAAGAACUUUUUUGAGGUUCAAUUUUUUUGCAAGAAUUUUUCAUUUUUUGGGGGUUUUUUUUCAAGAUUUUAUUCAUUUGUUUCACAACAAUGGUAGGUAAUUGGUAGGUAUGAUACAUAUUAUACAGUAUUCCGGUUAUAGAUGCAUGAGGGUUCCCCCGGGGUUUCCGGUAUGCGGCAUUCAUAAUCGCCAAGGUUUUUCACCGGAUCUCGCCAUUUACAGCGACUGUCCAUGGCACUUCUGGUUUUCCUCGGGUGAUUAUAGAUUUUUUCGUUUGGCA